AUGUCGAAUUGGACACUUCCACUUGAGAUUCCAUCCCCUCAUCCCCUUUUCCCCGCAGGGCUCCGGGCGGCCGUGACCCUGCUGGAGUCCGGGGGGGACCUCCAGCCCCCCGGGGGGUCCCUGCGCCUCCUCUGCCGAGGGUCCGGGUUUGAUUUCGGCAGCCACACCAUGUUCUGGAUCCGCCAGAGACCCGGGCAGGCGCUGGAAUUCGUGGCCGCCAUCGAGAGCAGCGGUAGCGACACCAGAUACGCGCCGUCGGUCGAGGGUCGGUUCAGGAUCUCCAGGGACAACGGGCAGAGCUCGGUGACGCUGACCAUGAACAACCUCAAGGACGAGGAUUCCGGAUCCUAUUUCUGCGCCAGGCGUUUCACCAGCGGCUGGUCCAUCAACGCUGCUCCUGGCGGCGCCGGUUGUGGUGGCGAUGCCGGGGCUGGUCCCAAACCCCAAACGCUGCGUCCCCAGCAGGGGCAGGAAUGGGAUGGGGAGACCCCCAGGGGGUUCUGA